rnacentral:rRNA from 1 species
UCUUGCGCAAUGGGCGAAAGCCUGACGCAGCGACGCCGCGUGAGGGAUGAAGGCCUUCGGGUUGUAAACCUCUUUCAGUGGGGACGAAGCGAGAGUGACGGUACCCGCAGAAGAAGCCCCGGCCAACUACGUGCCAGCAGCCGCGGUAAUACGUAGGGGGCAAGCGUUGUCCGGAUUUAUUGGGCGUAAAGAGCUCGUAGGCGGCUUGGUAAGUCGGACGUUAAAUUCCAGGGCUCAACUCUGGGACGCCGUUCGAUACUGCUAGGCUUGAGGCCGGUAGGGGGAUCUGGAAUUCCUGGUGUAGCGGUGAAAUGCGCAGAUAUCAGGAGGAACACCGGUGGCGAAGGCGGGAUCCUGGGCCGGACCUGACGCUGAGGAGCGAAAGCUGGGGGAGCCAAC